rnacentral:lncRNA from 1 species
ACACAUAGAAACGGAGAAGCAGCACGCUGUGAUCUACUCACACACUCCUUUCUACUAAACUUAACAAGGCCAGAAGAAGGAUUUCAAAAAGGAAUCAUCACUUUCCAGAAGAAUACUGCACCAAUGGGGAGGCAUGAAACAAGUAUGAUGAAGUUAGUUUUGUAGCAUCCUAACAAAUUGGUUUUCCUCAGCAUAAAACUGGGAGCAGCUACAAGACUGUACACGGUGAGUACCAGGUCUAUUUCACUUGUAUCCCCAAGUGCCUAAUCCUAGCCCUGAAAACUCAACUGACUACAUUUUUUUAAUGAGAGAAGCAGCUCUUGAUGGCACUUGCACAAAAUAAAGUUCAAUAACAUUUAUUCACUAAAUGAUGGAUAGCUUUUCCCUUCUGAAAAUAGAGAAACAUUAAGGUUAAAAUGCCUGUUCCUCCUUAUUACUUUUU